rnacentral:rRNA from 1 species
AUGGAAAUCUUCCCGUUGAUGCUUUCUCUAUUGGUGCUCGGGUCACUGGGAAAGCUAACAACUCUGGCAUCCGGAGUUGUAACAGGCCUGCAGAACCCUGAGGGGAACUGGGCGCAACCAUCCCGUGCCGGUGGCAUGCUCCAUGGCUGCCCGACGAGCUGCGGCACUGUGAGCUUCGGCUAUCCCUUUGGCAUCGGAUCCAGGUGCUCCCGUGGACCGGACUUCAACCUCAUUUGCAACAACACCAGUCAGUCCCCCAGGCUCUUCUUGUACGACGGCAUCACCGAGGUGACCAACUUUGACGAUGCUCGUAUCACGGUCUCCUUUUCGCAUACCAUCACCCUGAAAUCUGGUGUGAGUGUCUACUAUUUCUCUUUGGAACCGCCUGGGAGGUCCUUCGAUAUUGAUUCCUUUGCUCUAGCCUUCAUUGGUUGCGGCCUAGAGGUGUACUCUGUGGAAGGGAAUGACACCAAUUCAAUAUGCACAACAAUGUGCUCAGACCCAGAAAUCACAGAGAUGGAGGCUAUGCACAACUGUAAUGGAAUUGGAUGCUGUGGCUAUAGUCAGGCAAGCUAUGCCAGCACUUAUCAGUUCAAAUUGGUCUACCGCCACAACACAAAAAACAUCAGCACGACCUCCAACCAGGCCUCCCAGUUGUGGGAUAAAAUCAGCAUAAGUGCUGAUGGCUCACAGCUCUCAUGGAAAUUAGGGGAUCAACCCACCUGUGCUGCCUGUGUCAGCGAGCAUGCCGAGUGCAGGCAGAACGAUCCACUAGGUGUAUACGGUGCACCAACAAGUGGCUACAACUGCAUCUGCGAUGACGGCUAUUCAGGCAACCCCUACAUUCCACAUGGCUGCUCCACCGAUGAGAAAGGGUAUAAUCCAAUUCCGAGCAGGGCUAACUGUACCCGCUGGUGUGGUAACAUUAGUGUGCAAUUCCCAUUCGGCUUUGAAGAGGGCUGCUUCGCUAGGGAAGAGUUUCACCUCAACUGCACAAAUGUGACGUCAUCAGCUGCCCUGGUCAUGUUGGGGGAGUGCAAGGUCAGUGACAUAAAUGUCAACGAAGGGACCUUAAAUGUCACCAGUGAUGUUUCUGAGCAGGGAUUCGAAGACACUCAUGUUUCCGCAUAUGGGUCAUUUGUGCUUAAUAAAUGGGUUGCUGCUCAUCUAAAUUGCACAGAGGCCCAACAGAAUAGGUCUGGAUAUGCUUGUGUGAGUAUCAACAGCAAGUGUGUGGAAGUAAGCGAUGAAGUGAUGACGAGUUACCGCUGCAGAUGCUUUGAUGGCUUCCAAGGAAAUCCAUACAUCCAAAAUGGUUGUCAAGACAUUGAUGAGUGCCUUGAUCCGAACAAAUGUAAAGGGGUCUGUCAUAAUACCGAAGGAAGUUUCAGUUGUACUGAAUGUCCUCGCAAGACUGAGUAUGAUCCAUCAAAAAUGAAAUGUACUGUGACAAAACAACAGCAUCUACUCUUAGGUAUAAUUAUUGGGCUGUCCUGUGGUUUCGGCGUUCUACUCUUGAGCUCCAGUGCAGUACUUUUCACUCGCAGGUGGAAAAAGAAUGUUCAAAAGCAACUACGGAGGAACUAUUUCCAAAAGAACCAAGGUCUUCUCCUGGAAACAUUGAUAUCAUCUGAUGAAUCUGCAAAUGAGAAUACUAAGAUAUUUUCGUUAGAAGAGAUAGAGAAGGCAACAAACAACUUUGAUCCUACACGUAUCAUUGGACGUGGGGGCCAUGGCAUGGUUUACAAAGGCAUAUUGUCUGAUCAGCGUGUUGUUGCAGUAAAAAAGUCGAAAGUCAUUGAGCAGUCUGAGAUCAGUCAAUUCAUCAAUGAGGUUGCAGUCCUCACUCAGAUAAAUCACAGAAAUAUUGUGAAGCUCUUUGGAUGUUGCCUCGAAACCGAGGUUCCACUACUGGUGUAUGAUUAUGUAUCCAACGGCUCACUGUCUGAAGUUCUUCAUGCAGAUGCAAGUGAUGGUUUUUCCUUAUCUUGGGGUGAUUAUUUGAGGAUUGCUCUGGAAACAGCAGGAGCUCUAUCUUAUCUCCACUCUUCAGCUUCAAUGUCAAUCUUCCAUCGUGACGUGAAAUCCUCAAAUAUACUCUUGGAUGUGAACUACACGGCUAAAGUGUCAGAUUUUGGUGCGUCCAGAUUGGUUCCUGUCGAUCAAACACAUAUUGUGACGAACGUGCAAGGUACAUUCGGGUACUUAGAUCCAGAGUAUUUCCAUACCAGGCAGCUGAACGGGAAGAGCGAUGUGUACAGUUGUGGUGUGGUACUAGUGGAGUUGCUUCUCAGAAUGAAGCCUAUAUUUACAAGUGAAUCAGGCACAGUCAAAAGUUUGUCAAACUAUUUCCUCCAGGAGUUCAAUGAGGGAAGAAUCACAGAUAUUGCUAAUUCUCAGGUGCUUGAGGAGGCAACAGAGGAAGAGAUCAAUGGUGUUGCCUCUCUUGCAGAGCGGUGCUUGAGGCUACACGGCAAAGAAAGACCAACCAUGAAACAGGUUGAGACAGAACUGCAGACUCUACGGGCAAAACGGAUGAACUCAUCUCAGCCUGAUCCGAGAAAUGGAGAACAUAUGCAACCAAGGUCGUUAACUCAAAGGAGUAGAUCUGCUCGGCAAUUGUCCGCACAGCCAGGUGGUAGCCAACGACGCUAUAGCUUGGAGGCAGAGUUCUUGUCAUCUGCUAGCCUACCACGCUAG